AUUUAAGUAGUUUAAUUUAAAACCCUUUAUUUUCGUUAAAGAAAUAUCUUCUCAAUCUUAAAUA
rnacentral:tRNA from 1 species